CCUUUUACAUUUUAUUUCAUACCAAACACGCCCCUUUACCCCUCUCUCCCCUCUCCUCUCCAUUAAACCUAACCCUAGCGCUGCCUUUCCCCCCCUUUCCCUCUCUCCUCACUGGAUUGCCAAAAAUGGCAUCAAUUCAGAGAGGUCAGACGUGUAUCAGCCUUAACACAACCAAAUCAGUGCAACAUUUAAAGUGUCGUGGUCGUUUUCUUCCAAUUUCUACCAAACAACACCUACGAUGGCUCAACAGGCAAUUCUUUUGAGUCAUGAUUGAGCCCAGUGAAGAAAUGGAAGCUAAUAUAUAUAUUAAACGCGUGGAAGGCCCAGCCAUGGGUGAAAAUGACCAACUAGAGGGUUGGUACACCCCUAGCCUACCCUUAACUCUAUUUAUUUGCUUAAGUUAUACUUUUCCUUUAGUUGUAAAGUUGUUGUAUUUAUACUUCUAAAAAUCUAUUAAAAAAAAACUCAUAUAUUGUUGGAA